UACUUCGCCUGAUAUCAACCUUACUCCUUUUGAGAAAUUAGACAGCAAUGGUCGAAAAUUACCUGUACUUUCUAAUUUAGGAAUGGGUUAUGUAUUUGAAGAAUUGAUUCGAAAGUUUAACGAAGAAAAUAAUGAAGAAGCCGGAGAACACUUUACGCCUCGUGAAGUAAUUGACUUAAUGACUCACAUUAUUUUUGACCCAAUCAAGAAUAACUUACCACCAGUAAUGACCAUUUAUGACCCUGCCUGUGGUAGUGGUGGAAUGUUGACCGAAGCUCAGAAUUUUAUUAAAGAUGAAGAGGGCGAAAUACGUGCCGUAAACUCGGAUGUGUAUUUAUACGGAAAAGAAAUCAACGACGAAACCUAUGCGAUUUGCAAAUCGGAUAUGAUGAUUAAAGGAAAUAACCCUGAAAAUAUUCGUGUGGGUUCUACGCUAUCUACAGAUGAAUUUGCUGGUACUACUUUUGACUUUAUGCUUUCCAAUCCGCCUUACGGAAAAUCUUGGGCUAGUGAGCAAAAAUAUAUCAAAGAUGGGAAAGAUGUUAUCGAUUCACGUUUUCAAAUACGCUUAAAGAACUAUUGGGGCAUUGAAGAAGAUGCUGAUGCGAUACCACGUUCGUCUGAUGGGCAAUUGUUGUUUUUGAUGGAAAUGGUAAGCAAAAUGAAACCCUUAUCUCAAAGUCCAUUGGGUUCUCGUAUUGCUUCCGUUCACAACGGAAGUAGUUUGUUUACGGGUGAUGCUGGUGGUGGCGAAAACAACAUUCGUAGGUAGGGGUGAAAGGCUAAUCAAACUGGGAAAUAGCUCGUACUCCCCGAAAUGUUUUUAGGAACAGCGUCGUGGUUGAGUUUCAUGCAGGUAAAGCUACCAAUAGGACUAGGGGGAGUCAAAUCCUACCAAAUCCUGAUGAACUCUGAAUGGCAUGAAAUAUACACGGCAGUGAGGGCGGGGGUGCUAAGGUCACCGUCCGAGAGGGAAAGAACCCAGACCAACAGUUAAGGUCCCCAAAUCUAUACUAAGUUGAACAAAGGAGGUCUGAUUGCAGAGACAGCCAGGAUGUUAGCUUGGAAGCAGCUAUUCAUUUAAAGAGUGCGUAACAGCUCACUGGUCGAGCGAGGCGGGCAUCGAUAAUAAACGGGCAUCAAGUAUAGUACCGAAGCUUUGGAUUAUAUAGAGAUAUAUACUGGUAGGGGAGCAUUCUGAUAGCGGAGAAGGUAAAUCGACAAGGUUUGCUGGAGUGAUCAGAAAAGCAAAUGUAGGGAUAAGUAACGAUAAUGGGGGCGAGAAACCCCCACGCCGAAAAGUCAAGGAUUCCUCAGCUAUGCUAAUCAACUGAGGGUUAGUCGGGGGCUAAGGGUCUAGCGAGAGCGACAAUCUAAUGCACAUCAGGUUAAUAUUCCUGAACUUACUAUUAGGGAAACACGAUGACGGAGAUUCGUGGUUGGCAGGUACUGACGGAAUAGUGCCUUUGAGUGGAAGCCGCAAGGCAGAUGCGAGUCAGCGAAGAAACUUCCAAGAAAAGUUGUGGAUCUUAACUUAAUAGUAACCCGUACCGUAAACCGACACAGGUGACUGGGAAGAAUAUUCUAAGGCGCUCGAGUGAAUCACGGCUAAGGAACUCGGCAAAUUAACCCUGUAACUUCGGGAUAAAGGGAGCCUACUCAGCGAUGAGAGGCCGCAGAGAAUUGGUCCAGGCGACUGUUUAACAAAAACACAUGGCUUUGCAAAAACGAAAGUUGACGUAUAAGGCCUGACACCUGCCCGGUGCUGGAAGGUUAAGAGGGGAUGUUAGAGCAAUCGAAGCAUUGAAUCGAAGCCCCAGUAAACGGCGGCCGUAACUAUAACGGUCCUAAGGUAGCGAAAUUCCUUGUCGGGUAAGUUCCGACCUGCACGAAUGGUGUAACGAUCUGGACACUGUCUCAGCCGUGAGCUCGGUGAAAUUGUAGUAACGGUGAAGAUGCCGUUUACCCGCAACGGGACGGAAAGACCCCAUGAACCUUUACUAUAGCUUAGCAUUGAGUUCUGAUACUGGAUGUGUAGGAUAGGUGGGAGACUGUGAUAUGGCGUCGCUAGGCGUCAUGGAGUCAACGUUGAAAUACCACCCUUCUUGUAUUGGGAUUCUAACUUAAAAAAGGACAUUGCUUGGUGGGUAGUUUGACUGGGGUGGUCGCCUCCAAAAGGAUAACGGAGGCUUUCAAAGGUACCCUCAGCACGCUUGGUAACCGUGCGUAGAGUGCAAUAGCAAAAGGGAGCUUGACUGUGAGACCGACAAGUCGAUCAGGUACGAAAGUAGGAUAUAGUGAUCCGGUGGUAUAGUAUGGAAUAGCCAUCGCUCAAAGGAUAAAAGGUACUCGUAUCGUGACUGGGAAAC
rnacentral:rRNA from 1 species